rnacentral:lncRNA from 1 species
CUCAGCCCCUGUCUCUAGGAGAGCUAAGCUGAUGGCAGUGACAAACUGUGAUCCAAUCCCACCAUACCUCCAGGAUUUAUGGACUAAAUGAGCUUCUGGAAGCUUGGAGGGGGGAACGCCUGUCCCACUACAGAGAACAUGAAGGCCAAGGAACUUCAUGCUUAUCCUAGGCAAUAAGAAAACUAGAACAGCAGGUCUGAGGAACCCCAAAGGGUUAAAGACAUCGCAAAGAGGAAGGAAAAUUGUCAAUGAAGACUAACAAGUAGCUAGAGAAGCUAGAGAGACGAUAAAGAGGCCAG